rnacentral:rRNA from 1 species
UACGAAGGGGGCGAGCGUUGUUCGGAUUUACUGGGCGUAAAGGGCGCGCAGGCGGCGCAUUUUGUCAGGCGUGAAAGCCCCGGGCUUAACCUGGGAACUGCGUUUGAUACGGAUGGGCUAGAGUUCGGGAGAGGAGAGUGGAAUUCCCAGUGUAGAGGUGAAAUUCGUAGAUAUUGGGAAGAACACCGGUGGCGAAGGCGGCUCUCUGGACCGAGACUGACGCUGAGGCGCGAAAAGCGUGGGGGAGCAAACAGG